rnacentral:rRNA from 1 species
AGGAGACAGGUGCUGCAUGGCUGUCGUCAGCUCGUGUCGUGAGAUGUUGGGUUAAGUCCCGCAACGAGCGCAACCCUUGUCUUAAUUGCCAUCAUUCAUUGGGCACUUUAAGAGACUGCCGGUGUUAAGCCGGAGAAGUGGGAUGACGUCAAGUCCUCAUGGCCUUUAUGCCCAGGGCUACACACGUGCUACAAUGGGCGGUACAAAGAGAAGCAACCUCGCGAGGGUGAGCAAAUCUCAAAAAGCCGUUCUCAGUUCGGAUUGAAGUCUGCAACUCGACUUCAUGAAGUCGGAAUCGCUAGUAAUCGCGGAUCAGCAUGCCGCGGUCGAAUACGUUCCCGGGCCUU